UUGACUAUGUUCGAGCUAAUUUUUUCCAGUUGGAUAAUUUGCUUUAUCUAUUGACGAAUAACUUAGAAUUAUAUUUUUUACAUCAUUCCUUGACGAUUGAAGGCCAUUUUCAUUUAUCAACAUGAAAUAUAGUUGCGUAAUUCUCGUCAUCUUACUUGGCACGAUUAUGGAUGUUAAAGCACAAAAUGCAACUAUGGCAACAACUGUUGCAAAAUCUUCUGCAAUGGUAACUACACCUGCUUCAAAGGCAACAACAACCACUGGGGAUGCAACUGUGGCUCAAGGCAAAGUCAGUACUGUCGUCGCAUCGCUAUUAGUAGCGCAAACAGCUCGCUUGUUGUUCUAAUUAUUGGAAAAUGCAUCUUUUAUUGAAG